UACGUAGGGGGCAAGCGUUAUCCGGAAUUACUGGGUGUAAAGGGAGCGUAGACGGUAAUGUAAGUCUGGAGUGAAAGGCGGGGGCCCAACCAUUGUGUGCAUUGGAAACUGGGAGACUUGAGUGCAGAAGAGGAGAGUGGAACUCCAUGUGUAGCGGUGAAAUGCGUAGAUAUAUGGAUGAACACCAGUGGCGAAAGCGGCUCUCUGGUCUGUAACUGACGCUGAGGUUCGAAAGCGUGGGUAGCAAACAGG
rnacentral:rRNA from 1 species